CCCCUCUCAGGGUCAUACCUGGAGAGUGUCCAGUACUCUGCCAGUCUCGGCUACAGAAGAGAGAGUCAAGCAGAGUCCUACCCAUUCCAUUCCUAGGUUGGCCAGUGACUAGCGAGUGGAAGACAAUCUGCUAUAAGU